rnacentral:rRNA from 1 species
AACGAACGCUGGCGGCAGGCUUAACACAUGCAAGUCGAACGCCCCGCAAGGGGAGUGGCAGACGGGUGAGUAACGCGUGGGAAUCUACCCAGUUCUACGGAACAACUGAGGGAAACUUCAGCUAAUACCGUAUACGCCCUACGGGGGAAAGAUUUAUCGGAAUUGGAUGAGCCCGCGUUAGAUUAGCUAGUUGGUGGGGUAAUGGCCUACCAAGGCGACGAUCUAUAGCUGGUCUGAGAGGAUGAUCAGCCACACUGGGACUGAGACACGGCCCAGACUCCUACGGGAGGCAGCAGUGGGGAAUAUUGGACAAUGGGCGCAAGCCUGAUCCAGCCAUGCCGCGUGAGUGAUGAAGGCCUUAGGGUUGUAAAGCUCUUUCAGUGGGGACGAUAAUGACGGUACCCACAGAAGAAGCCCCGGCUAACUUCGUGCCAGCAGCCGCGGUAAGAC